GCCUGAGUGGCGUAAUGGCAGCCGCGAAGGACUUAAAAUCCUUUGGUCAGUAUGACCGUGCCAGUUCGAAUCUGGUCUCAGGCA
rnacentral:tRNA from 1 species